UUAAGCGACUAAGCGUACACGGUGGAUGCCCUGGCAGUCAGAGGCGAUGAAGGACGUGCUAAUCUGCGAAAAGCGUCGGUAAGGUGAUAUGAACCGUUAUAACCGGCGAUGUCCGAAUGGGGAAACCCAGUGCAAUUCGUUGCACUAUCGUUAACUGAAUACAUAGGUUAACGAGGCGAACCGGGGGAACUGAAACAUCUAAGUACCCCGAGGAAAAGAAAUCAACCGAGAUUCCCCCAGUAGCGGCGAGCGAACGGGGAGCAGCCCAGAGUCUGAAUCAGCUUGUGUGUUAGUGGAACGGUCUGGAAAGUCCGACGGUACAGGGUGAUAGUCCCGUACACCAAAAUGCACAGGUUGUGAACUCGAAGAGUAGGGCGGGACACGUGGUAUCCUGUCUGAAUAUGGGGGGACCAUCCUCCAAGGCUAAAUACUCCUGACUGACCGAUAGUGAACCAGUACCGUGAGGGAAAGGCGAAAAGAACCCCGGCGAGGGGAGUGAAAAAGAACCUGAAACCGUGUACGUACAAGCAGUGGGAGCACCUUCGGGUGUGACUGCGUACCUUUUGUAUAAUGGGUCAGCGACUUAUAUUCUGUAGCAAGGUUAACCGUAUAGGGGAGCCGCAGGGAAACCGAGUCUUAACUGGGCGUUAAGUUGCAGGGUAUAGACCCGAAACCCGGUGAUCUAGCCAUGGGCAGGUUGAAGGUUGGGUAACACUAACUGGAGGACCGAACCGACUAAUGUUGAAAAAUUAGCGGAUGACUUGUGGCUGGGGGUGAAAGGCCAAUCAAACCGGGAGAUAGCUGGUUCUCCCCGAAAGCUAUUUAGGUAGCGCCUCGUGAACUCAUCUUCGGGGGUAGAGCACUGUUUCGGCUAGGGGGUCAUCCCGACUUACCAACCCGAUGCAAACUACGAAUACCGAAGAAUGUUAUCACGGGAGACACACGGCGGGUGCUAACGUCCGUCGUGAAGAGGGAAACAACCCAGACCGCCAGCUAAGGUCCCAAAGUCAUGGUUAAGUGGGAAACGAUGUGGGAAGGCACAGACAGCCAGGAUGUUGGCUUAGAAGCAGCCAUCAUUUAAAGAAAGCGUAAUAGCUCACUGGUCGAGUCGGCCUGCGCGGAAGAUGUAACGGGGCUAAACCAUGCACCGAAGCUGCGGCAGCGACACUAUGUGUUGUUGGGUAGGGGAGCGUUCUGUAAGCCUGCGAAGGUGUGCUGUGAGGCAUGCUGGAGGUAUCAGAAGUGCGAAUGCUGACAUAAGUAACGAUAAAGCGGGUGAAAAGCCCGCUCGCCGGAAGACCAAGGGUUCCUGUCCAACGUUAAUCGGGGCAGGGUGAGUCGACCCCUAAGGCAAGGCCGAAAGGCGUAGUCGAUGGGAAACAGGUUAAUAUUCCUGUACUUGGUGUUACUGCGAAGGGGGGACGGAGAAGGCUAUGUUAGCCGGGCGACGGUUGUCCCGGUUUAAGCAUGUAGGCUGGUUAUCCAGGCAAAUCCGGAUAAUCAAGGCUGAGGUGUGAUGACGAGGCACUACGGUGCUGAAGUAACAAAUGCCCUGCUUCCAGGAAAAGCCUCUAAGCAUCAGGUAACAUUAAAUCGUACCCCAAACCGACACAGGUGGUCAGGUAGAGAAUACCAAGGCGCUUGAGAGAACUCGGGUGAAGGAACUAGGCAAAAUGGUGCCGUAACUUCGGGAGAAGGCACGCUGGUGUGUAGGUGAAGUCCCUGCGGAUGGAGCUGAGACCAGUCGAAGAUACCAGCUGGCUGCAACUGUUUAUUAAAAACACAGCACUGUGCAAACACGAAAGUGGACGUAUACGGUGUGACGCCUGCCCGGUGCCGGAAGGUUAAUUGAUGGGGUUAUCCGUAAGGAGAAGCUCUUGAUCGAAGCCCCGGUAAACGGCGGCCGUAACUAUAACGGUCCUAAGGUAGCGAAAUUCCUUGUCGGGUAAGUUCCGACCUGCACGAAUGGCGUAAUGAUGGCCAGGCUGUCUCCACCCGAGACUCAGUGAAAUUGAACUCGCUGUGAAGAUGCAGUGUACCCGCGGCAAGACGGAAAGACCCCGUGAACCUUUACUAUAGCUUGACACUGAACAUUGAGCCUUGAUGUGUAGGAUAGGUGGGAGGCUUUGAAGCGUGGACGCCAGUCUGCGUGGAGCCAACCUUGAAAUACCACCCUUUAAUGUUUGAUGUUCUAACGUUGGCCCCUGACCGGGGUUGCGGACAGUGUCUGGUGGGUAGUUUGACUGGGGCGGUCUCCUCCCAAAGCGUAACGGAGGAGCACGAAGGUUAGCUAAUCCUGGUCGGACAUCAGGAGGUUAGUGCAAUGGCAUAAGCUAGCUUGACUGCGAGCGUGACGGCGCGAGCAGGUGCGAAAGCAGGUCAUAGUGAUCCGGUGGUUCUGAAUGGAAGGGCCAUCGCUCAACGGAUAAAAGGUACUCCGGGGAUAACAGGCUGAUACCGCCCAAGAGUUCAUAUCGACGGCGGUGUUUGGCACCUCGAUGUCGGCUCAUCACAUCCUGGGGCUGAAGUAGGUCCCAAGGGUAUGGCUGUUCGCCAUUUAAAGUGGUACGCGAGCUGGGUUUAGAACGUCGUGAGACAGUUCGGUCCCUAUCUGCCGUGGGCGCUGGAGAAUUGAGGGGGGCUGCUCCUAGUACGAGAGGACCGGAGUGGACGCAUCACUGGUGUUCGGGUUGUCAUGCCAAUGGCACUGCCCGGUAGCUAAAUGCGGAAGAGAUAAGUGCUGAAAGCAUCUAAGCACGAAACUUGCCCCGAGAUGAGUUCUCCCUGAGACUUUAAGUCUCCUGAAGGAACGUUAAAGACGAUGACGUUGAUAGGCCGGGUGUGUAAGCGCAGCGAUGCGUUGAGCUAACCGGUACUAAUGAACCGUGAGGCUUAACCUU
rnacentral:rRNA from 1 species